rnacentral:misc_RNA from 1 species
AAAUGCGAUAAGUAGUGUGAAUUGUAGAAUUCAGUGAAUCAUCGAAUCUUUGAACGCACAUUGCGCCCUUUGGUAUUCCAAAGGGCAUGCCUGUUCGAGCGUCAUUUGUACCCUCAAGCUUUGCUUGGUGUUGGGCGUCUUGUCUCUAGCUUUGCUGGAGACUCGCCUUAAAGUAAUUGGCAGCCGGCCUACUGGUUUCGGAGCGCAGCACAAGUCGCACUCUCUAUCAGCAAAGGUCUAGCAUCCAUUAAGCCUUUUUUCAACUUUUGACCUCGGAUCAGGUAGGGAUACCCGCUGAACUUAAGC